rnacentral:rRNA from 1 species
CGCCUCUUGAAUUCAUUAGAGGUCCAGCCUGCCCAGUGACUCUUGUUUAACGGCCGCGGUAUCCUAACCGUGCGAAGGUAGCGUAAUCACUUGUCUUCUAAAUAAAGACUAGUAUGAAAGGCAUCACGAGGGUUUAACUGUCUCCUCUAUCUAAUCAGUGAACCUAAUCUCCCCGUGAAAAAGCGGGAAUUUUAAUAUAAGACGAGAAGACCCUGUGGAGCUUAAAACAUUUUUACACGUGCCCCAAUACCAAGUACCCAGGUACCAUAUCCUAUCGACACGAUGAUUUUAUGUUUUUGGUUGGGGUGACCGCGGAGAAUAUCACAUCCUCCGUAGUGAAAGGAACCACUCCUUAACAACAAGCCACAACUUUAUGUAUUAAUAUAUUAACACCAUUGACCCAAUAAAUUGAUUAAUGAACCAAGUUACCCCAGGGAUAACAGCGCAAUCCACUUCCAGAGCCCCUAUCGACAAGUGGGCUUACGACCUCGAUGUUGGAUCGGGAUAUCCUAGUGGUGUAGCCGCUACUAAAGGUUCGUUUGUUCAACGAUUAAAAUCCC